AGAGAGCAUAACAAAGAUAAAAUAGUGCUAAAUAUUUAAACUACUGUUUGUCCACAGGCACCAUGGUGUAGGAACAGAACCAGAAAGGCCUCCUCAGAGAUCAAUAUUCUGAUUGCAAAAUCCCAUCCAUCGCACCGGGAGCCCUAACUUUGGCAGCACCUCCCUGGUCUUCACAUUUGUGGUCUUCUAUAACGCCUGGAUGGUUGCCUGGUGUUGGAAGCAAGGACUUACAGUCUGGAUCUGACUGCUGUUUUGCGCUGCUGAUCUCUUCCACGUUGUUAAUCCUACAUUGCUAA
rnacentral:lncRNA from 1 species